rnacentral:rRNA from 1 species
AUGACGGCAGCUACCAUGCAGUCGAACGAGAAAGUCCUUCGGGGCGAGUAAAGUGGCGCAGGGUGAGUAACGCGUAGGCAUCUACCUUCGGGACUGGGAUAACAGUGCGAAAGCGCUGCUAAUACCGGAACGAUUUUCGGUCGGGAGGCUGAAAAUGAAAGCCGGCCACUCAGUGAAGCUGGUGCUCGAAGAUGAGCCUGCGUCCUAUCAGCUUGUUGGUAGGGUAACGGCCUACCAAGGCGACCACAGGUAGCUGGUCUGAGAGGAUGAUCAGCCACACUGGCACUGGAAUACGGGCCAGACUCCUACGGGAGGCAGCAGUGAGGAAUUUUGCGCAAUGGGAGCAAUCCUGACGCAGCAACGCCGCGCGAGUGAUGAAGGCCUUCGGGUCGUAAAGCUCUGUCAGGUGGGAAGAAUGUCCCGCAAGGGAAUACUGUGUGGGAGUGACGGUACCACCAGAGGAAGCACCGGCUAACUCCGUGCCAGCAGCCGCGGUAAUACGGAGGGUGCGAGCGUUAUUCGGAAUUACUGGGCGUAAAGCGCGUGUAGGCGGGGAGGCAAGUCUGAUGUGAAAGCCCUGGGCUUAACCCGGGAAGUGCAUUGGAAACUGCUUUUCUAGAGUUCUGGAGAGGAAGGGGGAAUUCCCGGUGUAGAGGUGAAAUUCGUAGAGAUCGGGAGGAAUACCAGUGGCGAAAGUGCCCUUCUGGACGGAUACUGACGCUAGACGCGAAGCGUGGGGAGCAAACAGGAUUAGAUACCCUGGUAGUCCACGCUGUAAACGAUGAGCACUAGGUGUAGCGGUACUCAUUCCUGCUGUGCCGCACCUACGCGAUAAGUGCUCCGCCUGGGGACUACGUCGCAAGACUAAACUCAGAGGAAUUGACGGGAGCCCGCACAGCUGUGAGUAUGUGGUUUAAUUCGACGCACGCGUAGAACCUUACCAUGCUGACAUCCCUGACUGCUCUGAAACAGGAGUCCCGUCGGGGACGGGAGACAGUGCUGCAUGCUGUCGUCAGCUCGGUCGUGAGAUGUGGU